GGAAAGAACCCAACAGGGAUUGCCUCAGUAACGGCGAGUGAAGCGGCAAAAGCUCAAAUUUGAAAUCUGGUCCUAGACCCGAGUUGUAAUUUGUAGAGGAAUGUUCGGCGACGCCUAGGUCUGAGUCUUCUGGAAGGAAGCGCCUUUGAGGGUGAGAGCCCCGUAGGACUGAUGGCUGAACCAUGUGUACAUCCUUCGACGAGUCGAGUUGUUUGGGAAUGCAGCUCAAAACGGGUGGUAAAUUCCAUCUAAAGCUAAAUAUUGGCCAGAGACCGAUAGCGCACAAGUAGAGUGAUCGAAAGAUGAAAAGCACUUUGGAAAGAGAGUGAAACAGUACGUGAAAUUGUUGAAAGGGAAGCGCUUGCGACCAGACUUGGGAUUGACGUUCAGCGGUUCGCGUGGACCGUGUACUUCGUCAUUGACUAGCCAGCAUCAGUUUCCGGGGUUGGAUAAAAGCAUUGGGAACGUAGCUUUGCUUCGGGAGAGUGUUAUAGCCCUUUGUAAAAUACGGCCACUGGAGACUGAGGAACGCCUUUUUGUAGGAUGCUGGCGUAAUGGUUGCAAGCGGCCCGUCUUGAAACACGGACCAAGGAGUCUAACAUCCGUGCGAGUGUUUGGGUGUCAAACCCGCUCGCGAAAUGAAAGUGAACGUUGGUGAGAGUCUGUAAAAGGAUGCAUCAUCGACCGAUCCUGAUGUCCUCGGAAGGAUUUGAGUAAGAGCACGGCUGUUGGGACCCGAAAGAUGGUGAACUAUGCGUGAAUAGGGCGAAGCCAGAGGAAACUCUGGUGGAGGCUCGCAGCGGUUCUGACGUGCAAAUCGAUCGUCGAAUUUGCGUAUAGGGGCGAAAGAUUAUCGAACCUCUA
rnacentral:rRNA from 1 species